CAGUAGCCGCGGUAAUGCGUAGGUGGCAAGCGUUGUCCGGAAUUAUUGGGCGUAAAGGGCUCGCAGGCGGUUUCUUAAGUCUGAUGUGAAAGCCCCCGGCUCAACCGGGGAGGGUCAUUGGAAACUGGGAAACUUGAGUGCAGAAGAGGAGAGUGGAAUUCCACGUGUAGCGGUGAAAUGCGUAGAGAUGUGGAGGAACACCAGUGGCGAAGGCGACUCUCUGGACCAUUACUGACGCUGAGGUGCGAAAGCGUGGGGAGCAAACAGGAUUAGAUACCCCCGUAGUCCCUGUCUCUUAUAC
rnacentral:rRNA from 1 species